rnacentral:tRNA from 1 species
GGAGCGUAGCUUAAAGGAUAGAGCAGCGACGCGCGCAGUAAAGACAGCAGUAUAGGCGGUUCGAUUCCGCCUCGCUCCA